UUCAUCUUUCUUCUUCUUCUCCGUUUCUUCUCUUCUUUUCUCUGGCGAUUUCAGAUCGAAGCUUUGUGUUGUUUUUAACGAGAUGAAUCACUGAAGUUUCAUAACAUGAUGAUCCGAGGGAGGUUGUGAUGGUACUGAGGUUGAUUUAGUAUCAGGAGAAGAAGAAAUUGAUGUUACUACAAGUAUGAGUUAGGUUUUCUGUAAUUGAAUUUGAGAGUUCAAUUGAGGACGAAUAAGAGGAUUUAGAAGUUGGGUUUGUUCUUAAUUGAUGUUUGAUUGAAGUUGUAGGGCGAAUUGAAGAUUGAAUAUGAUAUUAGGGUUUCCUGAGUUGGAUUGGAAUUCGAUUUGGUGAUGAACAAGAAGAAUUAAGGACUGGUUUUGAUUAAUUGAGGAAAGGGUUGGAGUUAAUUAGAUAUUAUGGAGCUGUUCUGAGGAAGAAUUGAGGAAUACGAGAUUUCAGUUGAGGUAAUAUUUUCUUAGUUAUUCAAUUCAUUGUUGUGUAUGGAGUUAUUAUUGAAUUGAGCUUUAAGAACUGAUGUUGGUACUGAUGUUGAUUGCAUGGAGUUAUAGUGAAUUGAAUAAUGGAAUGGUGUCACAAGAUGUUGCUGAUGAACAAAAUUGAGAAGUAUGAGCUGAACCUAGUAUUAGAACUGUAUUGGUGAAGUUGGUGGUUUGAGAUGGCAGAGUAAAGGAAUGUUAGGUUUGGUUGAGAUGGAGCGUACUUGAUGUUGGGGGAUUUGAACUACAGUUGGUGGUGAUGUAAUCGCAGUGAAGUUAUACUAGGGGUAUAUGGAAGGGGUUCGGAUGAAUGUUUUACAGCAAAGAUUGAAUGUAACUGAUGUUGCGUGUAGUAAUGGGUUUAUUUGUGUUGAGUUGGAAUUUCAGUUAGAAUUGAAGUGUAAUCAAAGGGGAGUUGCAGAUGAGAGUUGAGUAUUGUUUGGAUUGAGGCAUUUUGGGAUAUUGCAGUUAUUGCACCUGUAUAUUUAUAUGAUGAAGUUGUGUGUUUGUUAAUGAAUUGUAUGGAUUGAUAUGAAGAUGGAAUUGAGUCUCUGGUGGUGUUAUUGUGAACUACAAAGGUUCGGUGUUGGAAUUGGAAAUUAUAAGAUGUGUUAUUGAUAUCUGCAAUGGUUGGGACUAGAUUAAUGUUUGGAGAUGUUGCAGAGGGAAUGAGUCUUGCUAGUAGGUUGAGGCUGUGGUCUUACAGUUGAAAUUAGAAUCAAGAGUGUUGCUUGACUGGUUGUACCGUUUUGUCCGAUGAAUUACAAUUGAAAGGAUGCGAAAUUGGAGAUACUGUAGGUGCAGAAUUAUAUGGGUGGUUGUGUUGAGAAUUGAAUGGCAGGAAUGAAUAUGUUGUUGGUGUUAUGGGAGUUGUUGAAGUUUGGAUGUGUAGGUUGUGGUUGUAACGGAUUUGAGUUAGGUUAUGUUGAAGUAUAUAGAGUCUGGAUUACAAGCUGAGUUGUGGUGAUGUUUUUUUAGGUUGUGAAGAAUGGAAAAAGCUGUUAAUAAUGAGUUCGUUGACAGAUAGUGAGGAUAUAGAGAGUUAAUAUCAUGUAUGAAGUUACAGUUCGUAGGAUUGGUGAUGUGUUGAUUUUAUUGCUGUUGUGGCAAAGGCCUUAGUGAAAGCCUGCAACUGCAGACCAAGGUAAGAUGUAAUUUUGUUUGUAGUUAAAAGUAUGAAGUAAUAGAAUGAUUGUAUUGUAAGAGUGAAGGUUAGAUGAACUUUGGAGUUGAACCUGUGCAGUGAGAGACUUGCAGUUACUGCCUAAAGGUAAGCUGAAGUUGUAAUUGAAGUUGUGUUAUGAAGUUUUACAUAAGUUGAAUGGAAUGUAAAGUGAUUGUAUGAA